CAUUUCAAUUUCACAUAUAUAACUACACUCAAACAGUAGGCAAACAGUAAGCAAACAGUAAGCAAAUAAUGAAAUAUCAAAUGAUUUUGACUAAAUUAGUAGGCCCUAUAAUAUAAACCACGAUGGCAAGAGAAGAUGCUUUAUCAAUUAUCAUCAUGAUUGGCAAUGCAAGUGGUGACUUUCGGAAUAAUAUUAUAUUUCAGCUAGGGCUGUUGAAACAUGCAUGCAAUGUAUUAUGUAUGUAAGCACUUCCCUCAUUUCCCACUCCGAAAAGGGGUGUGAGUAUGAGGCUAGAACUAUGCACCGAGGAUAGGCAAUGUCUUCUAGCAUACGUUACAAGGGAGAAGAGAACGAGGAGAAUGUUAGGUAAAAAGGAAAUUAGGGUUUGGGGUUUUAUAAUUUAUACAGCAAAGCACCACAUGUGUAAUAGUUAACUUGAUUUUUUUUAAUGGAAUAUUAUUUUAUUUUUGUUC